UAAAUUUGUUCAUCACACACCAUUUAGUUUACUUGAGAAUGAUAAUAGUAUUUUAGAAAAUGUGAUAUGUAUAAUAUUAGGCAGUUCUUUCAUUUUAAUUUAAUUGUUUUCUAUUUCAUUCCAAAAUGUAAUAGCCCGAUUUAAAACCACUUUUUCUAUAUUUUAGCGUUGUUUUUUUUAAAUAAAUAUUGAAUGACAAGUGUUGGGAUUCCAAUUAUUAGACACUAGAUGGCAAUGUCGUGCUGGCCAUGUUUUCCGAUCCACUUAAUAUAUACAAAAUUUUUAAUCAGGUCUAAAUAUCAUUUAAUUUUUUCCAAUGGAAUAAAAUUACUCGUACAUUAUAGACUUAAGUAAAAAUUGCGUGUCUUGAAUUUUAAAGUAAGUAUAGAAAUUGCCAGUUAUCUGGCUUUAGCUAAUUAAGAAAGCUGCAUUUUGUAAAUUAACUUAUUGACACGCAAAACAUUUCAAAUAUAUGUAUACAUGUAAACGAUAACUAGCUAUAUUUAGACUGCUAUUUUUAGUUUUGUAGUACGAACAUGUAUAUACAUAAGUAAAUAAAUCUGUUUACGAAUGAACUACUCGAUAUAUUUAUAUGCCCAAAGCCCGAUCGGAUAAUGCAAUGUUGCAAUUUUGACAUCACAGGAGCAAAAACCGCUCCACAACCAGCGUCAGAGGAGCAAUUUACAUGCUCCAAGUACCUUGGACAGUCCUGAGCCAUGAACUGACCGACGGCGAGCAGCUCUUCUGUGGCUCUCAAUUCGAUAACAGCGGGGGCAACAAGGCAGCACAGCAACAGAUACUGCGUCCACUACUCUAACUCUCUAAGUGAUCUAAGAAAGAAAGAUGAUUGGAGGUCUGUGGACAAUGACCCCCGAUAAAAAUAAAAAAGAACCAAACAGCUAUUUGAUCAAUUCAAUGACGUAACAGACAUAUUCAUAGUUGUAAUAAGUAAAAUAUUUUUUUAUUGCAAAGUAGAAAAAUGAAAUAAAUGAAGUCAAUAUUAAUUUCGAAAAA